UUGCUCUUCAACGAGGAAUUCCUAGUAAGCGUGAGUCAUCAGCUCCCGUUGAUUACGUCCCUGCCCUUUGUACACACCGCCCGUCGCUACUACCGAUUGAAUGGCUUAGUGAGAUCUCUGGAUUGGCUUUGAGGACCCGGCAACGGGAUCUUAUUGCUGAAAAGCUGCUCAAACUUGGUCAUUUAGAGGAAGUAAAAGUCGUAACAAGGUUUCCGUAGGUGAACCUGCGGAAGGAUCACUAGUGAUUAAAUCGAGAGCGUCUUUAUUGACCUCUCACCCUUCACAUCCACAUACACCCUGUGAAUCGUUUGGCUUUUCAUUAACAGAGCGCAAGCUCGACGAGUGAAAAGUCAUCAUUUAUACAUACCCCAGUCUUAUGAAUGUAACAGUUUUAAUAAACAUAAUAAAACUUUUAACAACGGAUCUCUUGGUUCUCGCAUCGAUGAAGAACGCAGCGAAAUGCGAUAAGUAAUGUGAAUUGCAGAAUUCGGUGAAUCAUCGAAUCUUUGAACGCACCUUGCGCUCCUUGGUAUUCCGAGGAGCAUGCCUGUUUGAGUGUCAUGAAACUCUCACCCUCCAACUUUCUUAAUAGUGGUUGGAGGCGUGGACUUGAGCGCUGCUGGUUUUUAUUAACCGGCUCGCUUGAAAUGAAUUAGCAGAUCCUUUUUGUAAUCGGUUCCACUCGACGUGAUAAGUAUUUCGCCGAGGACAUCUUAACGGAUGGCCGAGAUAAAGAAAGUCUUAGAUCCGCUUCUAAUUCUUAGCUUUACGCAAGUAAACUAAACCCAUUUUAUGAUCUGGCCUCAAAUCAGGUAGGACUACCCGCUGAACUUAAGCAUAUCAAUAAGCGGAGGA
rnacentral:rRNA from 1 species